rnacentral:rRNA from 1 species
UACGUAGGGCGCAAGCGUUAUCCGGAAUUAUUGGGCGUAAAGAGCUCGUAGGCGGUUUGUCGCGUCUGCCGUGAAAGUCCGGGGCUCAACUCCGGAUCUGCGGUGGGUACGGGCAGACUAGAGUGAUGUAGGGGAGACUGGAAUUCCGGGUGGAGCGGUGAAAUGCGUAGAGAUCCGGAGGAACACCGACGGCGCAGGCAGCGUCCUGGCCGCUUGCUGACACUGAGGCACGAAAGCUGGGGGAGCAAACAGG